GUGAACGCUGGCGGUAGGCCUAACACAUGCAAGUCGAACGGCAGCACAGUAAGAGCUUGCUCUUACGGGUGGCGAGUGGCGGACGGGUGAGGAAUACAUCGGAAUCUACUUUUUCGUGGGGGAUAACGUAGGGAAACUUACGCUAAUACCGCAUACGACCUACGGUUGAAAGCAGGGGAUCUUCGGACCUUGCGCGUUUGAAUGAGCCGAUGUCGGAUUAGCUAGUUGGCGGGGUAAAGGCCCACCAAGGCGACGAUCCGUAGCUGGUCUGAGAGGAUGAUCAGCCACACUGGAACUGAGACACGGUCCAGACUCCUACGGGAGGCAGCAGUGGGGAAUAUUGGACAAUGGGCGCAAGCCUGAUCCAGCCAUACCGCGUGGGUGAAGAAGGCCUUCGGGUUGUAAAGCCCUUUUGUUGGGAAAGAAAAGCAGCAGGUUAAUACCCCGCUGUUCUGACGGUACCCAAAGAAUAAGCACCGGCUAACUUCGUG
rnacentral:rRNA from 1 species